AAAAACUUAGUUAAUUUAUAACAUUAGAUUGUCAUUCUAAAAUAACUAAUUUUAGUAGUUUUUA
rnacentral:tRNA from 1 species